CAGUCGCCGCGGGAAUACGAAGGGUGCAAGCGUUACUCGGAAUUACUGGGCGUAAAGCGUGCGUAGGUGGUGGUUUAAGUCCGUUGUGAAAGCCCUGGGCUCAACCUGGGAAUUGCAGUGGAUACUGGGUCACUAGAGUGUGGUAGAGGAUAGUGGAAUUUCCGGUGUAGCAGUGAAAUGCGUAGAGAUCGGAAGGAACAUCUGUGGCGAAGGCGACUAUCUGGGCCAACACUGACACUGAGGCACGAAAGCGUGGGGAGCAAACAGGAUUAGAUACCCCAGUAGUCCCUGUCUCUUAUAU
rnacentral:rRNA from 1 species